rnacentral:rRNA from 1 species
UGCAGUCGAACGAUGAUGCCCAGCUUGCUGGGUGGAUUAGUGGCGAACGGGUGAGUAACACGUGAGUAACCUGCCCCUGACUCUGGGAUAAGCGUUGGAAACGACGUCUAAUACUGGAUAUGAUCACUGGCCGCAUGGUCUGGUGGUGGAAAGAUUUUUUGGUUGGGGAUGGACUCGCGGCCUAUCAGCUUGUUGGUGAGGUAAUGGCUCACCAAGGCGACGACGGGUAGCCGGCCUGAGAGGGUGACCGGCCACACUGGGACUGAGACACGGCCCAGACUCCUACGGGAGGCAGCAGUGGGGAAUAUUGCACAAUGGGCGAAAGCCUGAUGCAGCAACGCCGCGUGAGGGAUGACGGCCUUCGGGUUGUAAACCUCUUUUAGUAGGGAAGAAGCGAAAGUGACGGUACCUGCAGAAAAAGCACCGGCUAACUACGUGCCAGCAGCCGCGGUAAUACGUAGGGUGCAAGCGUUGUCCGGAAUUAUUGGGCGUAAAGAGCUCGUAGGCGGUUUGUCGCGUCUGCUGUGAAAUCCCGAGGCUCAACCUCGGGCUUGCAGUGGGUACGGGCAGACUAGAGUGCGGUAGGGGAGAUUGGAAUUCCUGGUGUAGCGGUGGAAUGCGCAGAUAUCAGGAGGAACACCGAUGGCGAAGGCAGAUCUCUGGGCCGUAACUGACGCUGAGGAGCGAAAGCAUGGGGAGCGAACAGGAUUAGAUACCCUGGUAGUCCAUGCCGUAAACGUUGGGCGCUAGAUGUAGGGACCUUUCCACGGUUUCUGUGUCGUAGCUAACGCAUUAAGCGCCCCGCCUGGGGAGUACGGCCGCAAGGCUAAAACUCAAAGGAAUUGACGGGGGCCCGCACAAGCGGCGGAGCAUGCGGAUUAAUUCGAUGCAACGCGAAGAACCUUACCAAGGCUUGACAUACACCGGAAACGGCCAGAGAUGGUCGCCCCCUUGUGGUCGGUGUACAGGUGGUGCAUGGUUGUCGUCAGCUCGUGUCGUGAGAUGUUGGGUUAAGUCCCGCAACGAGCGCAACCCUCGUUCUAUGUUGCCAGCGGGUUAUGCCGGGGACUCAUAGGAGACUGCCGGGGUCAACUCGGAGGAAGGUGGGGAUGACGUCAAAUCAUCAUGCCCCUUAUGUCUUGGGCUUCACGCAUGCUACAAUGGCCGGUACAAAGGGCUGCGAUACCGUAAGGUGGAGCGAAUCCCAAAAAGCCGGUCUCAGUUCGGAUUGAGGUCUGCAACUCGACCUCAUGAAGUCGGAGUCGCUAGUAAUCGCAGAUCAGCAACGCUGCGGUGAAUACGUUCCCGGGCCUUGUACACACCGCCCGUCAAGUCAUGAAAGUCGGUAACACCCGAAGCCGGUGGCCUAACCCU